rnacentral:misc_RNA from 1 species
GAUGAAGAACGUAGCAAAAUGCGAUAAGUAAUGUGAAUUGCAGAAUUCAGUGAAUCAUCGAAUCUUUGAACGCACAUUGCGCCCGCUGGUAUUCCGGCGGGCAUGCCUGUUCGAGCGUCAUUUCAACCCUCAAGCCCCCGGGUUUGGUGUUGGGGAUCGGCUCUGCCCUUCUGGGCGGUGCCGCCCCCGAAAUACAUUGGCGGUCUCGCUGCAGCCUCCAUUGCGUAGUAGCUAACACCUCGCAACUGGAACGCGGCGCGGCCAUGCCGUAAAACCCCAACUUCUGAAGGUUGACCUCGGAUCAGGUAGGAAUACCCGCUGAACUUAAGCAUAUCAAUAAGCGGAGGA